UGAUAGAUUAGAACCGGAUGCAUUCUUAGGUUUGGCAAUUGAAGCGGAUAGCAUGCAGGAUCUGUUGGUUUCUGAAAUAUAGUUUCAAAUUGAAUUAUUAGUAUCGUUAUAGGCAUGUCCAUUCAUGUGCAGGUUGUGUUAUUGAUGGUGAUUCCAGAACUGGUACUGUGUGAUUAUUGUAACUUGGCUCUUUACAAACCAACCACAGCGAAUUGUUAUGACACAAGUCACCCGUGUCAUGCUGUCGAUGGUGACAACAAUCAGACGUUUUUUUCCUGUAAGUCUGACCAUCCUUGGUGGCAAGUGGAUAUUGGGAUGUCACGCAAAAUAGACUCCAUUGAAAUUUCCUUCUUGCCAGGAGAGACUACAGACGAUAUAAGUAUAACAACAUUUGAUGAUAUUCUACCAGGCGGAGACAUUGUCAACAUCACAAAAUGUGGAGUGGAUACUAAAAUCCUUUCUUUGACUCUCUGCAAAGAAAGCUUGAAAGGACGAUACGUCCGGAUUUCGAAAAAAGUUUUAUCCGGUACUAUCAAAUUACAAGAAGUAGAAGUAUAUGGAAACGUUGAUGGGCCAUGUCCAAUGAUCACAGAAAAGUGGAUAUGUGACGACAUAUGCGUGGCUCCAGAAGGGGCAACUGGUGACCAAGUCUGUAGUAAUUGUAAGUGUCCGUGUACAACUAUUGGAGAGGAGGCAAACCACAUACUUACUGAAGAGGAACUUCAACAGAAAAUUGAUCAACUUGUUAAUGAAAUCAGUAUAGAUAAGAAAAAUACAGCUGUCUCCAAAAGAAAGCUGAUAAGUGCACCGGAUAGUAGGAAGUCGGCUAUGGCAGUAGGGUCGACUGGUAUCGUCAUACUGGCAUUGUUACUACUAGGGAUUAUUGCAAUGGAUGCUAGCAGACUAGUCUGUCUUGUCCACUUGACAAGACGGUUUUGUAACAAAUACAAGAACUAGAUACAUUUUUGUAAUAGAAGUUUGACAUGUAGUACUAUUAACCAUUUUCAUAAAGUCACUACGAAGUUCCAAAAUUCCGUCGCUUUGGUAUUUUGUUUUUGGUUUUGUUUUACGUUUAAUUGUUUAUCUAUUUGUUAUUAUUUGUUGUUACUUGAUAGAUUUGAAUUACUGAACUUUAAAAGCACGCUUGUCUUCCUGUAAUGCCUAUACAUGCAACACUAUAAUCAGUUUAUUGGAUCGACAAAAAGGCUUCGAGAGUUCUAUAUUUUCAUACAAAUAGUCCCGUCAUAGUUGGAAGAACAUAAACCUUUGUAUUCAUCAGCAAUAGUGUGUAAAGACUUAAACCUUUUUAUUAAUCAGCAAUAGUGUGUAAAGACUUGAUUAAACCUAUGUAUUCAUCAGCAAUAGUGUGUAAAAUAAAUCGUAUGAAAGAGCUUUCUGUCAUCCCCGUUUCUUUGUUUGAACCCUGAUUUCAAUUUGUUUUGGGUCCGCCUCCGCCUUUUGCAUUGUUGAGGACUUUAAAGCAACUAGACUGUUGUUCACUAUUUUUUUGGGGGAAAUCUUUUGGCUGAAGUUUUUCUUUGUUUUGUUCCUCCUUUUGGUAGGUUUUUUGAGGUAUGCGGUAAAAUCAAACACAACAUAUGUAACGGAAUAUAAAUAAUUUUCUUAAGAAAAUUACAAAAAUAGGAUUAUUUGGGGAACAUCUCUUUUUUAACUACAGGUUGUUUUGUUUUUGGUUUUCUGCGUCUAUAUGAUGAGUCAAGUCUUUUUUAAACUGAUUUUUAUAGUUUGUCCUCAUGUUGUGCUGUUCCACCACUGUCCCAGGUUGGGGGACGAUUAAGUGCUCGUAAACAUGUUUAUCUCCACGCAUUCUAUAUGUGCAUGUCUAAAGAAGCCUGGUCGCUGAAUAUCGUAUUUGUGUAUCGAUUAUUGUUCUGUCAUACAUGUUGGUUUUCUCGUUUGAAUUGUUUUACACUUUAUGCUUUAUGGGGCCUAUAAUCACUAAUAUCCACGCCAUUUGAUCUCAUUGACAACAACCCCACAUCCUCUUAUUUUAUAUUAGUCAUAUGAAUGUCCUCAAUAAUUAAUUGGUUAAAAUAAGAAUCAUUCUGACGUGUAGUUUACAUGCUAGAUAAUAUUUGAACAAAAACAAUUUUGGUGUCAAACUGUAUAAAUAUGUUUAAGUGAACAUGGAUGUGUUUUCAUUUGUUUGUGUGUGUCUGUGUAUGUGUGUGCUUUAUACUUCUUCCUUGUUGGUCGAUAGGUCUUGAAAAUUUGAUUUGAUGCAAACAACCUUAAUUAACAGACACGAACUUUUAUGUAUCAUGUUAAGUCAAUUAGAUAAAUUAUAUAUAUAAAUUUAAAAAAAAACACUUCGGAAGCUGUACUGAAGAGUAUAUAUAAUUCAAUGUUUCACUAAGUAGUAAAUAAAUUUUAAAACUACUUAAAAGAUCAAAAGCUCAUUAUAUUAUGUAAAGUGUUUUUAUGAGACUACAAGUAAUCGAAGAGUUCUGUAGUUGACAAAAAAUGAAGUUUGGAUAUUUCUGAAAUUCAUAUUAAUAUUAUUCCCGUUUAGUUUAGAAAUUAGUCAACAUUUCAAUAUAGUAUACAUAAAAUGUCAACAGUGCACUGGCCUUUUGAGUCGGAUGUAAUUAUAAAUUACAUUUUCCGUUAUGAAAAUGAAAUUUUACCAACAUAUGUAUUUUAUUCUAUUAAAAUGGCAGACGAUCAUA